GUUGGUGAAAGUGCAUAGAGUAGGUCAUGAAAUGUUGAGGGGUGAAAAUUCUACAAAAUUGUUAUGCUGCAGAAUUAUGUAGUCUUCUCACUGAGCGAAUUAGUCACUGAACGAGUGUAGUCGUUGAGCGAGUAGAACUAUAUCUAGCUGAGCAAGUGUAGUCGUUGAGCGAGCAAAACCCAUUGUUUUUGUAUUCGCAAAACGAGUUAGGGGGUUGAGCGAGUUAGUCCAGGGAGAGAAAAUUGUUGUAGCAGUGGAUGGGCAAGAGUCUUUGCUUAGCGAGAAAGAUUUCUUUUUGUUAAACGAGUGUGGGCACUGAGAGAGUAGAACGAUAUCUAAUUAAGCGAGUAUGGAUGUUGAACGACCAGUUCAGAACACGUUUUGAGUGUUUCUUUCUUUUGUUUUCUAGUAAAUUUGAACUAUGUGGGGGUUUUGAGGAUUGUGUAAAAGUAUAUAUUUUGAAUUACAUGAUGGUAUAUUCUUGAGGUUUUGUAUGUAUUUGAAGUAUGGUUGAAAAAAGUUUUCUGAGGUGAAAUUCUUAGUUGUUUGUUUCAAAG
rnacentral:lncRNA from 1 species